GUACUAUAUAUACGGGUCAGCUCAGCCCAAGUUGAGCGCAGAAGAAACAUUCGAAUAAAGUAACUCUAACUGAGCAGACGCUCUGACUCUAAAAAUACUGAACCUUCUUUGGGAUCCUUGCGAACAUCAUAACACUGUUGUCGUUCUUAAACGCCUCAGUUCAAGCAACUCGUUCUUUGCUCCAACAAAGUUAGUUGCGUUGUGGAACCAAAUUUGUCGUGGCCUCCUUCUUGUGCAUAUAAACCGUUUUAGGCCGUGCAAGAAAGCAACUGUAGAAAGAUCCUUAAUUAGCUCCAAAUGUAUGCAAAACAAAUAAAUUAGGCGAGGUUUCGUUCGAAAAUACCUGACGCACUUGUAUACUGCCCUUUUUACGGUGUUUGGGGGAAGGCCCCAAAAGGCCAAUAUUGGUAUCAAAUUAUGCUGAGAAGAGCACGAGGACCAGUAGGUCGCGCUAAUGAGCGUGAUUUAUAAUGACCACAGUAACUGGGUGAUUCUUUGGUAUGAUGAUUGGGUGGCGGUCAUUGAAAUUCAACGAAAGGUUCUUCAACCGACCAUCUAAUCGAAGAAGCCCAACUUGGUGAAUGAAGUUUGACAGCGAGGCAAGUGGACUAGACGGCUUACAAGGAUUAAUAUAUAUAUAUAUUCCAUAACUGAGCACGGUCAACCAGACACAGCAACAGAUGAGUCCCACUUUCAGUGGGAAGCCAGUUUAGGCUACUUACUACUACUACUUACUUACUACUUUUUGUAACCAAUCAGUUAUGGGGGGUCCAUAGGCCUACAAAAAUCUCUAAUACAGAGCUUGGAGAAGGGGUGAAUCGUGGGAACGAGGUAUGCCGAUUUUACUACAGCAUAUAAGUAUCGUGCCAUUCUGAAUCUUUUCCUUGCACAGCAGCUGAAGAAAAAUCUUAGACUUUGUGAUUUCUGGCCGACCAAACCAAAAGGAUCGUAGAAUCGAGAGAUUGCGGAUAAAACUGAACGUCGGAAAGGCCUUGGAAUUGAUUGAAGCCUUGAAAAUUAAAUCAACACCGGAUUUCACGGUCAGCGUGAUACAAAGCAAGGCGUAGCGUUCUUGUAAAAUCGCCUCCAUCGUCAAACUUCAAGUAGGACUCCUUAUCAUCUUCCAAAACGCCUUCCAAAACAGCCUGUACAUUUGAACACCACUUCCUUAGUAUAAAAUUGCCUCUGGAAAAGAGCGCGGACGUCUGCUGCAUUAUGUUGAUGGCUUCUUUUUUGGAGCUGGCGAUAUCAAAUCAUCAUCAUAAAAGUCACGGCAAAGAAUCUCAGCACCCACUGGAAAGGUUACCUCCUCAUCCCUAGACAACUGAUUCAUCGACCUCACAGCUAGGUAAGAAGCAGGCUUCGUACCAUACUUAACAGUAUCCAGCUUAAACACCCUCAGAUCAUCUUGAGGAGAAUCUCUCCACAAAAUGCACUGGAGUAGCUAUCCUCAGGCGAAACCCUGACACACCGGUACAUAUUACAGAUGUCCCCAGUGAUUGCAAUUGAAUGCGAGCAAAAACGAAGAAGAACCUUGAAUAGUUUUGGGUGAAUCAUUGGACUAAGCCAUCAAAACAUCGUUUAAGGAGUAUCCUGAAGAAGUUGACUCCGAUUCAUUAAAAACGACGCGAUGCUUUGUGGGGGUGCUUUCCUCUUUCUUGAAACAAUGAUGACAGGAAUUGGAUUUUUCUGUCGGAACUUCUGGCAUAAGUUCCACCUGCAAGUACUCGUUAAUGAAAGCCUUGCAUUGGACUUUGACAGCUGGACGAUGCUGUUUUUGUGUAUUUUUCUCUCAAGAGCUAGGAAUAUUUGCAGAGCUUGCUGGUAGGACUCCCAUAACGGAUCUAAACUGAACUUGGCUGGCAAUCGAACAGAAUUAUCCCCAGCCGGCAAGCGAGCAAAGUGUUUAACAAACGCUUUACAGUCAAGCUCUUGUCAAGUAGCCCGGACAAUGGGCACGGCGCAACUCUCCACCUUCCAAAACUGCCGCAGCAGAACCACAAGACGAUCCAGUUGGCUUUCCACAUUAGGCGGAACAAUAGCGCACGGCGAUAUUAAAGCCUUUUCAUUGGAGCGACUGCAGCCUCCGGAAACAACCCAGCCUAAACGUGUAUUUAUAACUGUACGUAUAACUCUGGAUCCGCAAGCUUCAGGUUUUGGGGUAUGUUUCAGUUACAAACUUCGAUGUUAAAGUUGGCCUGUUGUUCGGCUAUAUUGUAUGCAAUGACAGCAGUGAUAGAAGUCAAGUACUCGGAGGUUCGAGAUCGCAAUGUUAAGUUAACUGACAAACCAUCUGUCUUAAAACUAGACUUACCUAUACCGGUAACACAAGCGGACGACUUUGGUAGCAAUGUGAGCAAUAAGAGCUGAAGAUGGACCAUGAUCUCAUGAUCAAAUGAAUUUGAGGCCAGUAAGCUGAGAUCUUUCGUGUGACCAUAACGAGGCUAAGGUUCCCAAGUAAAGCAGAGUGUGGUGCUUGGAUUCGCAGGCGCAGGAGUUGCACUUUUUUAUGUUUGAAAGGUCAGAAUGGCUAUCUAUUAUCGUCGUGUAUAUAGAAUAAAAAUCCAGGCAGUUAGCACGACCUUCAGUGAAUUUUGGUACCUGAAGAGGGGGCAGCGACGGUGCCCUGUUCCGGAGUGAACGUUUCUGUUGGCUACAAUCACACGGAAAAAUGCCGUCAGCGAAGGUACGAGAAUAAGGUUUUAGGAGUUAUGAGAGCAUCAUCAAAUUUCUUACUCAAAUUGCUUUUAUUUUGAUCCAAAUUAAGCUCGUUCAAUAUUUUUUGAAACGUUUGUUGCAACUCAUCGAUCAGCUCCAACCUCACAUGUAGAACGGAAUUGUCCAAUGAAGUUAAUCUUGAUAAAGAAUCCGCUAAUCGUUCCAUAAUGUUAAAUAUGGCAGUCGCCGUGCGCCUCAAAAAUUUCACCCUGUUUGCAUCAGCCGUAACGUUUCCAGAAUUUUUAGCAGCCAUGGUAAUAACAACAAAUUCGGUUUAAGCGGAAAGAUGAGUGCAAAGAAAAAUCAGCAUCAGCUUCCGUUAUUUGUCUUUAAUCUUUAAUUUCAGUUAGCAGUAUCAACGAAGUUUAAGUUUUAAUCAGCUUUUUAUAAUUUGCACUAAUACUGCAUAUAUAUAAAUCACGUAGAGGUCACCAAAAUGUUGAGGUAAUAAGACUUCUUUAUCCCUUCUUGCAAAUGUAAAAAAAACAAUUUCUGUGGUAGCGAAUUUAAGCGAUUUUAUUUACUUUUUUCUUAGAACAAGAUGCGUAACGCCAUACGAUUUUUUUGGACACGAUUUUUUUGUGCUGGCUCCGGCUCUUUCGAAUUUUUGUUCAAAAGCCAGAGAGCGGAGAGCUCUAGAACCAGCAGCUCUCUUGUACGCAUAUAGUGGCACAUGACCACAUAUAGUGGCACAUGCCCUCCCCGUGGGGAGUAGCUAAUUUGAACGGCGAUUUUAACAAACGAAUUUUUUCAAAAAAAAAUCUUCUUUCAAAAAAGACAUCACGAUAUCAAUUUUUAAAAAUUAUAUCAUUAGAUCAUAUUGAAAUUGACCAAAACCAUAAUCAAAUUCGUUUCAAAGAUCAAAAUAGAUUUCGGAUCGAAAAUCGUGUUCUAGCACAGGCACGCACACACAAGCAAAUCUAUUUAUAGAUUUUAACGCUCUCAACUUUUUGCGAACGGACUAUUUAAGCCGUCGCCAAAUGUGUUAUUCUAAUGUCUUUGGCCUUUGGCCAGAUAGAAUUUUUCAGUUAGUGAAGUCUGCCCUUAAGGCUAGACAACCAACAAAAAAUACUGCCUUUGCUGGAGUAAGUUUCUCGAGCAAAUGCUGACACUAGCAAAAACAGCAUAUCUCCCCAUACCCGGAAACCAAUGGGAACCAGCCACGGCCCCCAAAGGCGUGUAUCUGUAUUUGCGUAUAAAAAUAGUCUUAUAUCGACUUAAUUUUACUCAUUAACAAUGAUCUUGUUAACUGCUUCUGUUAAUUCGUUAAUUUUGUUCUGAGUUUGUGUAUUAAUGACUAUGAUGUACUUUCAAUACGGACAAUAAACUUCUAAUGUGGCCUUUGUCGACGUCUAACAACUUUCGCAUAUGUGACUCUGGAAAUAACUCAAACACUCUACUAGUUUCUUCUAACGCCUUUUCGAAUUCGGACAGGUUACUCAAAUGCCUGGGGCCUCGUAGUGUAGUGGAUAGCGCAACUAGCUGUUAAACACGAGGUCGUGGGUUCAAACCCCACCCAUGACGAGCAUGGCCACACAAACUUUCUUCUCAAAAAAAAGCUUACUUUUGCCCAACCGCCUCACACCCUCUCCACGCUAUAAGGAUUAAAACGGGGUCCCCCACAUAGUUACCAAGUGCACUCUGUGUUCUGCGAACAGCAACAACACCCAGCAGGGCAUGACGCGCGUUACCAGACUGGUCGCUUUUCUACGAUUAGCAACAUCACCGUAGACGCUACUCCCCGAUGACGUUAAGUGGCAAGCGCCACCACUGGGAUAAGCCGCAUCUGGCCAAUCACCAGAUCGGUCGAAAAACUUAAUCGAUUAUCGAAACAAAUACGAGAGAGUUGGGCUCUCGUAGAAGCCCUAAGUUCCCGAGAGAAAUAGGAAGGAAUUAAUAAAAAAAAAAAUUUCAGUGCCUAAUCCAAUUUCUUUGCUCUCACACCAGUUCAACACCUUUUGUUAAUGUAUUUGGCAUAAAAAUAGUACAGUAUAGCAAUUAUGCUUAUAUAUAAGGUGCAUGAAAAAGAGUAUUAAAAUUGCGGGAAAUGUAAAUUUGAGAGGGAUUUGGUUGCCCCUAUGACCCACCCUCCCUCUAAUGAGGAUAGAAGUUCCGUCUUCCUUUUGUUGUUUCUGAGGUAAAUCUUUUCGCCUACCCCAAAAAUUUGGUUUUGUCUAGUAGGGUUGCACCCAUCUAGGUUAGCCUGUUGCGCUUUUACGAUACUAUUUUUUAUUGUCAGUCUGUGAGCGUCCCUGCAAAUUAUAAGGCAUAUUGCGGUUGAAAACUUUUGACCGUUACCGGUUGCCACUGAUUGCUUGCCGUCCCUGGCUGUAUAUAGUUUCUACUCGCUACGAAUUGCAACGGCUAGCUCAGAGAGUUUGUUUGUUCGUCCCACCAAUUUAUGAUUUGUGUGAUUGUUCGACCAAAGAGAAGUCAGAGUUUCAGAUUUAAUCCACCUUUAUUCAGUGACGCUUGAUAAAGAUAAUUCUGUGAUCCUCGCCUUCGGAUGCGAGUCGUAGCUCCAUCGUUGUUCUUAUUUGCUGGUCCCGCGUCGCUCUCGACGGCGUACCCGUGCCGGCUCGACUGGGGCUUUGGAUGUUAUGGGGACAGGGUGUAUCGUCCGUGAGAUCACGUAGAGCUUCUCCCCGAACCACCGUUGUCGACUCCAAAGUCUCCACAGUCCCUUCUUGCGUAAGCCAGGCACUUGUUGCCCUUACCAAAGGACCAACCUGCGGGCUCGGCCGGGGCUUAGGAUGUUAUGGGGCAGGGUGUAUCGUCCGUGAGAUCAGCUAGAGCUUCUCCCCUAACCACCUUUCUGACCACGCCAGGUCCUGGUGCUUGCUUGUCCUUGGCUUGUUCUUGCUUGCGGAGAUCCUCUUCGGCGCUCGCUUGUACUUUAACUUGUUCCGGGUUUUGUUCCGCGUACUUCACUUGUUCACUAUUCUUGUUCACUAUGCUGAUCGACUGAUACUCUGCGGGUAUUUUCUUUACUGACUGUCUGUCUGUAUGGCACUUUCCUAACUGACUGUCCCGCGGGAAUCCCGUUAUUUCCCUUUUUGCGCAUGGCUCACUCGGGUACACGGUCCAACUUAUGUCCCGUUAGUUCACGGUGUGUCCUCUUUGUGCUUGUACCAAGACCAUACCGUUACCGUACGACCUUUGCGCCUUUGGCUGGUUCGAGUCCAAGGUCCAGCGCGGUACCGUUAGUUUACGGUGUGUCGUCUUUGUGCUUGUACCAAGACCAUAUGGUUACCGUACGACCUUUGCGCCCUUGGCCGGUUCGAGUCCAAGGUCCAGCGCGGUACCGUUAGUUCACGGUCUCUCCGCUUUGCCGGGGUCCAAGGUCCAUUGUUUACAGUUUGACCUGACCGCCCUUGACCCUUCUCGCAUUCCAGCCGUCUUCGCUGUUGCCAUGCCGAUUUCCUACACCAGGAUUUGUGGUGAGUUUUAAGACUCCUCACAUUUCCCCCCUUCGUUCUCAGCCUGGCAGUCGCAGUCUAUUAGACCCCGUCUUUCAGCUUCUUGACUUGGCAUCUCGAACAUCCUUGCGCCUUCCUGAUUGCAGCCGGCGUCUGACCCUGUCUUUCAGCAUCUCGACGUGGCAUGGACCGCCCAUCGACCGCUAUUAUCGUAGCGCCCCCAUCCCAAUUUUCUGGGUUUCACGUGGUUUCUGGUGUUGCUGCACAAUGGAGCUCCACCCACUCGAUGAAUGCUCCUGCAUGCUCCGGGGCUUGCCCACCUCGUUUCCGCGCCUGCUGCAGCCUGGCAUCGACUUGCCGGCCCGCGUGCCUGGCCCCGCUUCGCGUGCCUGGCCCCGCUUCGCGUGCCUGGCCCCGCGUCCGCCCUUGGCUGCUGCGGAUGUUUUCGCACCUCUUUUUUCUACAAGUCAGCUAUGUUGUGCGGUGCCUUCGGCUGCUCUUGUUGUUGUGGCGCCGGCGGCGGCGUCGGCUGCCCCUGUUGCUGCGGCGUCGGUAGUGGUGGUGGCUGCGAUGGCAGCGGUGGUGUCGGCGGCAACGAUGGCUGCGUGUGCGGCACCGGCGUCUGUGGCUGCGGUAACGGUGGCUGCAUUAAUGGCGGUUGCGGCAACGACGGUGGUGGGUGUGGUGCCCACAGCGCUUCCUCCUCCUCCUGCCACCCUGCUAGUCGCUCUUGCCACGCGGCGGUGGUGGAUGAUGAUUGCUACACCCAAAGGUUUUAUUAUAGAGUCCCUCCUGAAUUUACACUGUCUAAAGAUGUGUUUAGACAUGAUAAGUAGACAAACUAUAAAUAUGUUCUAUUUAUGGGCUGCAAUAAACAUGGCACGGGACAACAUAAGUAGCAACUACAGAUAAGUACGA